GGGCGGGACGGGGGAGCCGUCCGGGCCGGUGGGCACGUGCAGGUAGCCGAACGAGAUCAGACGGAUCGGGCGCAAGGGAGUCUCCUGCUCGAGGUGAAGAAGGGGAACGGGAAGCGCCGCGCCCCGGCCGUCUGGCCGGGGCGCGGCGCUGUGGUGUGUGGUGCUGGUGUGUCAGGUGG
rnacentral:misc_RNA from 1 species